CACCUGGGAAGUCCUCGUGUUGCACCCC
rnacentral:rRNA from 2 species